GGAGAGCCCUACUUCACUACCAGCUUCCUGCCCUGGUACAUCCUGUACUUCUGGUAUUCUCGCACUGCGCUAGCUGGGCGACUCCGCGAUGACGUCACCAUCCUGCCACAAUCUGCAUCAUUCUGUGUGGCACCCAUGGAGUUUAAGGUACAGUAUUCAUUUUCAAUAGUUUUUUAAAGAAAUUAUACCAGUGGACAAAAUAUAGGGGAGGUGGUUGCUUCACCCGUUUCUCAAUCAUAUAUGGGACAACUGGGGUGGAGGGUGACAUUUUUUAAAAUAUCAAACAAAUUGUAAUCCUGGUUCUUCAAGCUUUAAUUUGAGCCUCUCUGUCAGGAUCUGUGGCGGAUCAAGGCUCCCUGCGGUUCUUGUGAAGGGUUUGACGUCAGUGUCAUGGAUGAGAUGAUCCAGAGUUCGCUGGAUUUCAGGGAGCCCCACCCCCUCUUGGAGUACCCGUCAGAAAGGGGCGGUGUCAUGGGGUAGUGCUUUGGAUGGAUUAUCACUUGACUGACUAUAUCUCAGUGAGCACAGGACUGACACAGCUACCCAGCCGACAGUGCAACUGUGAAUGGAGUCCCCACCGCAAGCAGGCAGUGUAUUUCUUUAGUUCCCCGUGGGAGAGUGCAGGAGACGACGCUUCAUCCCUCACAUACUUGCUCGCCUUUCAGCCAGCAACAGGCGACAUCAUUAUGGAGUUUAUACCUGGACCA